UACGUAGGGUGCAAGCGUUGUCCGGAAUUAUUGGGCGUAAAGAGCUCGUAGGCGGUCUGUCGCGUCUGCUGUGAAAACUCAGGGCUUAACCCUGAGCUUGCAGUGGGUACGGGCAGACUAGAGUGCGGUAGGGGAGACUGGAAUUCCUGGUGUAGCGGUGAAAUGCGCAGAUAUCAGGAGGAACACCGGUGGCGAAGGCGGGUCUCUGGGCCGUAACUGACGCUGGAGGAGCGAAAGCAUGGGGGAGCAAACAGG
rnacentral:rRNA from 1 species